GGAAGAUCAUCGUCCCCGGUGGGGUGGCUGGACUUCAAAUCCAGAUGGGGCCGCCAGCGGUUCUUGGCAGGUUCGACUCCUGUGGUCUUCCACCA
rnacentral:tRNA from 1 species